GCGCACAGCCUGCGCCGCCUCCUCCCACCCAUCUCAAGUCGUUUCCAAUAAAACGCGCUACCUCUAUGUCCCCGCACCACACCACCUCCAUCUCCAUGGACACCUCCACCCUCGCCGCCGUCGCUUCCUUCGUCGCCUUCUCCACGAAGCCCCGCCUCCUCCCGCCACUCAACCCCUCUCGCAGCCUUCCACGCACCCGCGGCUCCCUUGCCGUCUGCUGCUCUCACUCCCACGCCUCUCCUCCGCCCUCGCCCCUCCCGUGCACUGCGUCCGAUGAGGAGGAGGUCGCUCCUCCGCGCCUCCGCCUCCGCCUGCUCGCCGAGGAGUUCGGCGCUCUCCCGGACGCCGACCGCGCGCGCCGCCUGCUCGCGUACGCGGCCGCGCUCCCGCGGCUGCCCCAGGCGGACCGCGUCGCGGCCAACCGCGUCAUGGGGUGCGUCACGCAGGUCUGGCUCCUGGGCAGCUGCGACCGCUCGGGACGCAUGCGGUUCGCGGCCGACUCCGACUCCGAGCUCUCGCGCGGGUACUGUUCCUGCCUCGUCUCCGCGCUCGACGGCGCGGGCCCCGAGGAGGUGCUCGACGUGGACCCCGCCGAUCUCGCGCCGCUCGGUGUGGCCGCGGGGGCGCGGUCCCGGGUCAAUACGUGGCACAACGUGCUCGUCGGCAUGCAGAAGCGGGCGCGGGCAGCCAUUGCGGCGCGCGAGGGCAGGCGUCCUGGGGAGCCGUUCCCGUCGCUCGUGAUCGGCCGGGACGGCGCCGUCCGCGCGCAAGGAAGCUACGCCGAGGCCAAGGCGAAGUUUUUAUCUCCUGACCAGUCCAAGAUUUCCGAGCUUGUGAAUGCCCUCAGAGAGAAACAAAUUGGAAUUGUGGCCCAUUUCUACAUGGAUCCUGAGGUGCAAGGCAUACUAACUGCUGCAAAGAGGCAAUGGCCCCACAUUCACAUAUCCGACUCAUUGGUAAUGGCAGAUAGUGCUGUUCAGAUGGCUGAAGCAGGAUGCAAAUAUAUUGCUGUGCUAGGUGUUGACUUCAUGUCGGAAAAUGUCCGUGCAAUACUUGAUCAAGCAGGAUUUACUCAGGUUGGUGUUUAUAGAAUGUCCAGCGAGCAAAUAGGCUGUUCCUUGGCAGAUGCUGCUUCAAGUUCUGCUUAUACACAUUUUCUUAAGACGGCAUCAAGAUCUCCUCCUUCUUUACAUGUCAUUUAUAUCAAUACCUCGCUGGAAACAAAAGCUCAUACUCAUGAACUUGUUCCUACGAUAACCUGUACCUCUUCCAAUGUUGUUGCAACUAUACUACAGGCAUUUGCCGAAAUACCAGAUCUUAAUGUCUGGUAUGGUCCUGAUUCCUAUAUGGGUGCGAACAUAGCAGACCUAUUUAAGAGAAUGACUAUCAUGUCAGAUGAAGAGAUUACAGAGAUACAUCCAGAUCACAACAGGAAAACUAUAAGUUCAUUAUUACAACGUCUUCAUUACUAUCAGAAUGGUAACUGUAUUGUGCAUGAUAUGUUUGGCCAUGAAGUUGUGGAAAAAAUAAAGGAGGAAUACUGUGAUGCAUUUCUAACUGCACACUUUGAAGUCCCAGGAGAAAUGUUCUCUUUGUCAAUGGAAGCAAAGACGAGAGGAAUGGGAGUAGUUGGAUCCACUCAGAAUAUCUUAGAUUUCAUUAAAUACCAUUUGAAGCAAGCUCUGGAUCGGAAUGUUGAUGAUCAUCUUCAGUUUGUAUUGGGAACAGAAUCAGGAAUGAUCACUUCGAUUGUUGCUGCUGUCCGGCAAUUAUUUGACUCCUAUGAAUCUUCCAAAGAAGGUGCUAGCAUUGAAGUAGAAAUUGUGUUCCCUGUUUCGUCAGACGCAAUUUCUAAGACAUCUAUUGAUGAUUCCCAAGAUUCCGGCUCUUCAGUAGCGAAUGAUUUAGAACAGAUUAAUAUUGUGCCUGGUGUGUUUUCUGGUGAAGGGUGCUCUAUCCAUGGUGGCUGUGCGUCAUGCCCUUACAUGAAGAUGAAUUCUCUCGAGUCGCUACUUAAAAUCUGCCAGCAGCUUCCUGGUGAAGACAACAGUUUAUCUGUUUAUCAGGCUAGUCGAUUGAAUGCUAAGACUUCCCUUGGGAAAUUGGUUGCGGAGGUUGGGUGUGAGCCAAUUUUGCAUAUGAGGCAUUUCCAGGCGACAAAGAGAUUACCAGACAAGCUCGUUCACCAGGUUAUCCAUGGUAACGGAGGGGAACCUUUAUGAUGGCCGGUCCUCAGAAUCUUCCCUGUCAACUUUAUUCAGUAUCCGACUUUGCACCAAGUGUUGUUAUCCCGUUACUGAUAAUUACCGGUGGAGUAACAUUCACAGAGUCUGCAAUGGUAGAUAUAUUGGCUGACCAAUUGUUAUUUGUCUCAGCCAAAAUGUUUCUCGUGUAUGUUUGAUGUCAGAUAUAUAAAUGGGCGGCAUACGAGUAUACCUGUAACGGGGCGGCAUACGAGUAUACCUGAAGCUUUUAUCCUCGUGUUGUAAAAUGUCCUAACGAAAUCUCGCGUCGCGGCAUGCUGUGAAUCUGAGGGAGCACUGGCUGUAUACGAGCCGGUGCCGUCUACAGGAAUUAUGGGCCCUGCGCAAAAAGCAAAAUGGGGCUGUAAAAUUUGAAAUUGAGUUGAUG
rnacentral:rRNA from 1 species